GAAAAAAAAGCUGUCGUUCCUCUGCCGGCAUCCUCACCUACUCGAUUCUGUUCCCCCUUUCUCCUUGAGAUCUAUCUAGAUAGAGUGCACGCGUCGCCGGCGUCCGUUCCUUCUCCUCGCCGGGGUGACGCCGCCGCAACUACUCCGCGGCCGGCCGGACGUCCUCCACGGCAGAUCCAUCCCGACAGGCACGGUUCAGAUCGACGGCCUGCACUGCUACCAGUCAGGAAAAAAAAAUCCUCUCUUCACUGCUAACAGCACGGCCAUGGCAGCAGCUCUGGUCACCGGGCGUGAAGAAGAAUUAAUUCCAGCUUCCCCAUAGUUCAUCCUAUUCUCAGUGUGCAAAUUUAGCUGUUUUCGGUGCAUUCCACGGAGACACAUGGCGGCGAUGGAGGCGGCUCUGGUGAGUGUGGCGACGGGGGUCCUGAAACCUGUUCUGGGGAAGCUGGGCGCUCUGCUCAGCGAAAAGUACAAUCGUUUCAAGCGGGUGCGCAAGGAUAUCAAGUCCCUCACCGAUGAGCUUGCCGCCAUGGAUGCCUUUCUCAUGAAGAUGUCAGAGGAGGAGGAUCCUGAUGUACAAGAUAAAGUUUGGAUGAAUGAGGUGCGUGAGCUGUCCUACGAUAUGGAGGAUUGCAUCGACGAUUUCAUGCAAAGCGUUGAUGACAAGGACCCUGAGCCAGAGGGCUUCAUAGAGAAGAUCAAGCACUCGCUAGGUAAGUUGGGGAAGAUGAAGGCUCGCCGUCGGAUUGCCAAUGAGAUCCAUGAUCUGAAGAAACAGAUCACUGAGGUGGGCGAGAAGAAUGCAAGGUACAAGACUGAGGUGGGCAAGAGGAAUGCAAGGCACAAGACCGUCGAAGCCUUCUCGGAGACCAUCGAUGGAACCAUUGACACUAGAGCUCUUGUCAUCUUUGAUGAUGUGUCAAAGAUUGUCGGAAUGGACGAAUCAAAGACUGAGGUUAUCAAUUUGUUGACUGAAGAGUACGGACGUGGGUCAUCACGACAACUGAAGGUAGUAUCUAUCUUUGGGCCUGGAGGAAUGGGCAAAACAACUCUUGCAAAUCAAGUGUAUCAAGAGCUUAGGAGAGGAUUCGUCUGUCAAGCUUUCUUAUCUGUGUCGCGAAGUCCAAGCAUUAUGAACAUCCUGAGAACCAUAUUCAGUAAAGUUAGCAACCGACCUUAUGCUGGUACUGAAGAAGGGAGUGUGCAGCAACUUGCUAUCAACAUAUACGAGUUCUUACAAGACAAAAGGUACUUUAUCGUUGUUGAUGAUAUAUGGGAUAUGGAUACAUGGGAUGUUAUUAAGUGUGCAUUCCCCAUGACCAGGAUGGGUAGUAGAAUAAUCACCACUACUCGGAUAAACAGUGUGGCAGAGGCAUGUAGUUCAUCAUUCAAUGGCCAUGUUUAUGGUAUAAGGCCUCUUGAUAUUGUGUACUCUAGACAGUUGUUCUAUAGAAGACUAUUCAACUCUGAAGAACAUUGCCCUUCGCACCUUCAAGAAGUUUCUAAUCAAAUCUUGCAAAAAUGCGGUGGCUUGCCUUUGGCGAUCAUUGCAAUUUCUGGUCUGCUGGCUAGCAAACAGAAAACAACAGAGAUAUGGAAUGAAGUGAAAGAUUCAAUUGGGCGUGCACUUGAACGAAAUCGUAGCGUUGAAAAUAUGAUGAAAAUUUUGUCACUUAGUUACUUUGAUCUGCCUUCUCUUCUCAAAACUUGCCUCUUGUGCCUGGGUAUAUUUCCAGAGGAUACUGUUAUCGAGAAGAAAUGUCUUAUAAGGAGAUGGAUUGCUGAAGGGUUAUUUCACAAAGAAGGCAGAUAUACAGUACAUGAGUUGGGGGAGAUGUGUUUCAAUGAGCUUGUCAAUAGGAAUUUGAUCCAACUGGUGAUUGACGAACACCAUAAGCUGAAUACUUGUAGAGUUCAUGACACAAUUCUUGAUUUCAUCAUAUCCAAGUCCAUUGAAGAUAACUUUGUUACUUUGGUUGGGGUUCCCUUUGUACCAGUUAAUGUCAAACGGAAAGUUCGUCGGCUCUCUAUCCAACUUGAUACACAGGGAAAUUGUAUCGUGCAAAAAAGAAGACUGGUAUUGUCCCAUGCCAGAUCACUCAAUAUUUUUGGAAAUUCAGGGGAAAUGUCUCGAUUGGAUGAAUUCAGGCAUUUGCGUAUUGUAGAUUUUGGAUGUUGGGGUUCCCCCUACAAUGGAAACAUCGAACACCAUAUUAAAAAUAUAGGGAGGUUGCUUCAUCUAAGGUACCUGAACCUAAGGGGAACAAGAAUAUCUGAGCUCCCAGGAGAUAUCGGGUGUCUACGUGGCCUAGAGAUGUUAGAUAUAAGAGGCACCUUCGUAUGGGAACUGCCAGCAAGUAUUGUAAAUCUAGGGAAAUUGGUGCAUCUAUUGACUGACUGCAAAGUUACAUUUCCUGAUGGAAUUGGGAAGUUGCAGGCACUGGAGGUGUUGAAAUGGGUCGACUUUUCAUUGCAAAGUCUUGACUACAUGCAACAACUUGGACAGCUAAGGAAUCUGAGAAGGUUGUUCAUUGAUGUCAAUGAACGUGCAAGGAGACUUCCUGUCUCUUCCUUUUGUGACUUUAGCUUGCUGGAGAAGCUUGGUUAUCUGAAAAUAAAAAAUGGGAACACAUUCUUACCAUUGGGAACUGCGUGCCCUGUUGCGCCUAGCCUUCAGAAGCUCGUCUUAAUUGAUUCGCCAGUCCUGCAUGUUCCGGAUUGGAUGCGCGCACUUGUCAACCUUCAAGAGUUACGCAUUGAAGUGAAGGGAAUCACGCAGAGUGACCUUUGCAUUCUCGGAAGCUUACCUGCUCUGCUCAAGCUGGAACUAGAAGGGAGAUACCAUGAUUCUAAAGAUAGAAUGCUGACAGUCAGUGCUGAAGCUGGGUUCCCAUACUUGACCAAGUUCCGAUAUUAUGCAGACCAAGAAGGAAUAAAUCUCAAGUUCGCAGCAGGCUCCAUGCCCAACCUAGAAAUGCUUGUGAUCGUGCUACGUGCGUGUAGAACUGAGGCACUCGCUGAUUGUUUUGAUUUCGGGAUAAAGAAUCUGCCCAGACUCGUUACUGUCGAUUGUACAGUAGAACAAGGCGACUGCAGCAGUUUUAAGGCUGCUAUGAAGAGUGCAGGCAGCACACAUCCCAACCGCCCUACUGUACUCUUUUCGCAGCACAUCGACGAGGACGAGGAUUAACAUACUCAGGUUGUCUGUCUUCUCGUUGUUCCCAUCCCAGCACAAGCUUUUGCGAGGAAGGGGACUGAUGCGCUGCCAGGUCGCUCUUGCAAAGCACACCUGCCCAGUAUGCCCCUACAAGAUUCCAAAAUAAGUGUCGUGGUUUUAGUUCAAAUUACUGUAGAGUGGAGGGAAGAGUGGGUAAGGUUUGAAUUCCCAGGGGGGAAGGAGAUGGACGGCCAGGAUGCGCGGCACACAUCGAUCAUUUUCAUUUAACAAAAAAGCUGAGGCUUGCGUCGUCGGCUAGGUCAGGGCAGGGGUGCUCGCAUGUCUCUCAGCUUUUGGUCCGGGGGGCAGGGAGGGCACGUGGCAUGGCGUCGGCGCCGGCAAGAACACGGCUGUGGUCGGCACCCUGCCGGCAGCUCGGCACUCAGAGUAGAAGGAAAAUGGAUAAGGAUUACAGAAUGAGAGAGGGGAAGCCGGAGGCCAAGAAUAGCAGGUCCUGUAGGUGCAUUACUGAACACCGUGAGAGCCACAACCAUUCUAUGUCUAUGACGAUGGGAGACAAGGUGCACUGGUGGUCACACAAGCACAUUGAUGUGCACACCAAGGAUAUGAUAAACAAGUUGAGGGAAAAUAAUGUUAACUUUCUGGGUUAUCUCAACCCAACUCCCAGAGUAUACUUGGCCACAGAUCUUGGCUGUGCUCAUAAGAAAGAAGUUGCAUGGAGUACUACUAGUUGCGAGCAUGAGCACAGCACCUCUCUCGGCCUGUGUGUGUAGACACCAAUACGCGCGCACACACAGGACAUGACAAGAGCACUAAAGCAGAGCAUAGAAAACAGACUAGGAAAGCAGAGAAGCCCUUUCUUUUUUUCCUUUCCUUUUUGAUUAACUGCUCAAGCACAUAUGAAUGUUUUUUUGAAUUUUCAUAUGAAUGUGCUUAUACAGCAGUCCAGCUA